GUCCUUUCAUUUUACAGAAGAGAAAACUGUGAUCUAAAACAGUCUGGUGAUUUGCCUAAAGUCACAGACCCUCAAGGGCCCAAACUGUCCACUCCAGUCCAACUAGUCCAUCAAGAGUAUCCCAAGUCAUCUUGAGGACACUGCACCUUUGUUCAAGUUAUUCACUCCACUUGGAAGCUUCUUUCUGCUCCCAUUUAUCUUACUGAUCUUCUGUUCCUUCUCUAAAAUCCUGCUUAGCGAAACAGAAAGAAUUGGCCAAUCUCAUGCCCCAGACUUGGAUCUGAAUCUUAGAGUCAACCGAGGCCUAAUCUGCUUUCCUGCUUGGCAUCCUCAGCUUUCUGCUCAGCCCUUCCCAGAGACCCCUGGCCUUCCUGCCUGUUACCCUCUCAAAGUGAAGACUGGCGUUACAAUGGAGCACCAAAGAUUGCUGCAAACCACCAGAAGCUAGGAGAGAUACCUGGAAGAGAUUCUUCCUCAGAACCCUCAGAAGUCCUCUGCUGACCCCUUGACUUCAGACCUCUAACCUCCAGUAUAUGAGACAAUAAAUUUCUAUUCUUUAAGCCACUCAGUUUGUGGAACUUUGUUACAGCGGUCCUAGAAAAUCAACAUAACUAUUUUGAUACUAUCCAAGGAACUUUCUUGACCUGUUUCUUCAUCUGCAAAGCUGGAAGCAUCAUCAUGGUUCCACCUCCUGGGCUCCAUUCUAAACACUUUGCAUAGAUUAUCUCAUUUAGCCAUCACAUAUACUUUGCUACUGGCUUCCUUGGUAGCUCAGGCGAUAAAGACCCUGUCUGUAGUGUGGGAGACCAGGGCUCGAUCCCUGGGUUGGGAAGGUCUCCUGGAGAAGGAAAUGGCAACCAACUACAGUAUCCUUGCCUGGAAAAUCCCAUGGACAGAGGAGCCUGGUGGGCUGCAGUCCAUGGGGUUGUAAAGAGUCG
rnacentral:lncRNA from 1 species